rnacentral:rRNA from 1 species
CGCGUAGGUGGUUAAGUCAGUCAGAUGUGAAAGCCCCGGGCUCAACCUGGGAAUUGCACCUGAUACUGCUUAGCUAGAGUACGGUAGAGGGAAGUGGAAUUUCCGGUGUAGCGGUGAAAUGCGUAGAGAUCGGAAGGAACACCAGUGGCGGAGGCGACUUCCUGGACUGAUACUGACACUGAGGUGCGAAAGCGUGGGGAGCAAACA